UUCCUUUUGCUUUUGAUUGUUGCUCAGAAAGCCGGGUGUUAGAAAGGCUUUCGGGCAAUAAUCAUUUCCAAAGAGGAC
rnacentral:pre_miRNA from 15 species